rnacentral:misc_RNA from 1 species
GAUGAAGAACGCAGCGAAAUGCGAUAAGUAAUGUGAAUUGCAGAAUUCAGUGAAUCAUCGAAUCUUUGAACGCACAUUGCGCCCCUUGGUAUUCCGAGGGGCAUGCCUGUUCGAGCGUCAUUAUAACCCUCAAGCUCAGCUUGGUGUUGGGGCCUGCUGCAGUGGCAGCCCUUAAAAUCAGUGGCGGCGCCAUCUGGCUCUAAGCGUAGUAAUUCUUCUCGCUAUGGAGUCCUGGUGGAUGCUUGCCAUCAACCCCCAAUUUUUCUAUGGUUGACCUCAGAUCAGGUAGGGAUACCCGCUGAACUUAAGCAUAUCAAUAAGCGGAGGA